rnacentral:rRNA from 1 species
CCUACGGGAGGCAGCAGUGAGGAAUAUUGGUCAAUGUGCGCGAGCCUGAACCAGCCAAGUCGCGUGCGGGAAGACGGUCCUAUGGAUUUUAAACCUCUUUUGUCGAGGAGCAAAAGACGCCACGCGUGUCGUUCCGAGAGUACCCGAAGAAAACGCAUCGGCUAACUCCGUGCCAGCAGCCGCGGUAAUACGGAGGAUGCGAGCGGUAUCCGGAUUUAUUGGGUUUACAGGGUGCGCAGGCGGAAGAUAAAGUGGGCGGUAAAAUUGGGAGGCUCAACCUCUUCGAGCCGUUGACACUGGUUUUCUUGAGUGAGUGAGAGGUAUGCGGAAUGCGUGGUGUAGCGGUGAAAUGCAUAGAUAUCACGCAGAACUCCGAUUGCGAAGGCAGCAUACUGGCGCUCAACUGACGCUCAGGCACGAAAGUGUGGGUAUCGAACAGGAUUAGAUACCCUUGUAGUC